rnacentral:rRNA from 1 species
CCUACGGGUGGGCAGCAGUGGGGAAGAUGGGGCAAUGGGCGCAAGCCUGACCCAGCAACGCAGCGUGAAGGAAGAAGGCUUUCGGGUUGUAAACUUCUUUUGUCAGGGACGAAGCAAGUGACGGUACCUGACGAAUAAGCCACGGCUAACUACGUGCCAGCAGCCGCGGUAAUACGUAGGUGGCAAGCGUUAUCCGGAUUUACUGGGUGUAAAGGGCGUGUAGGCGGGACUGCAAUUCAGAUGUGAAAACCACGGGCUCAACCGUUGGCCUGCAUUUGAAACUGGAGUUCUUGAGUACUGGAGAGGCAGACGGAAUUCCUAGUGUAGCGGUGAAAUGCGUAGAGAUUAGGAGGAACACCAGUGGCGAAGGCGGUCUGCUGGACAGCAACUGACGCUGAGGCGCGAAAGCGUGGGGAGCAAACAGGAUUAGAUACCCUUGUAGUC